ensembl:lncRNA
UUGGAUGAUAUCACUUUAAAUGUUAUGUGUACAGCGAGGAUCCCCCGCCGUCGUCUGUAUUUGCAUGAAGUGACAUCAACAGGUCCAAACGUAGCGCCGGCCGGGUCGCAGGACGGACUGAUUCAGAAUUGAAUAGGAGGACGCCACAACCGUGCUCCUGGGCUUUCAAACGGUGACGCUCAGGAAAGGAUGCGACAAAGAGGCAGACAGGCGAGACAUGAAACACACUGGAGCCUGAGCGGAGUGUGGCUCCCAGGCAGGGCAGCUACAUUGUCGUGGUCCCGUCUACCAACCCCGUCCCCCCCAUCAAGACCUGCUCUCUUAUCCACUGUGAUAUGAUAUGGACCGGCAGAAGACAACUGAGGCCCGUAACUCAUCACCCCUCAGCCUGCUCUGACACCCUUUAUAGGGCCCAGCCCUGCUCACACACCAACCUGGAGCUCAUCUGCGUCUAUGGCUGUAUACUGUAUGUCUCUGUUAGCGUGUGUGUGUGUGUGUGUGUGUGUGUGUGUGAGUGUUUGUGUGCUUAUGAGUGUGUGCUCUACGGCUGUGUGUUGUGUGUUCUGUACAUAUCCAUGCCCAUGCAUGCACGACUCGCGCUCACUGGUGUGAGCGCGAGUACGUAUUAUGUGUGCGUAUGUGCCAGUGAUUAGAGGGUGGUUUCCUCUGUCUUGGUGUAGAUAGUGUCAUGUUGUAAAUCUGCCAUGGUCCUGAUGUCAGCGUAGGAGUGGGGGAAGAGGUGGAAAAUGAUGGAGGCUAGGUGGUGGUGGUAGCUGGGUCGAAAUGAUGGUUGUUAGGUGGGAGUGGCGGUAGCUGGACGGAGG